AGUGAACGCUGGCGGUAGGCCUAACACAUGCAAGUCGAACGGCAGCACAGUAAGAGCUUGCUCUUACGGGUGGCGAGUGGCGGACGGGUGAGGAAUACAUCGGAAUCUACUUUUUCGUGGGGGAUAACGUAGGGAAACUUACGCUAAUACCGCAUACGACCUACGGGUGAAAGCAGGGGAUCUUCGGACCUUGCGCGAUUGAAUGAGCCGAUGUCGGAUUAGCUAGUUGGCGGGGUAAAGGCCCACCAAGGCGACGAUCCGUAGCUGGUCUGAGAGGAUGAUCAGCCACACUGGAACUGAGACACGGUCCAGACUCCUACGGGAGGCAGCAGUGGGGAAUAUUGGACAAUGGGCGAAAGCCUGAUCCAGCCAUACCGCGUGGGUGAAGAAGGCCUUCGGGUUGUAAAGCACUUUUGUUGGGAAAGAAAAGCAGCAGGUUAAUACCUCGCUGUUCUGACGGUACCAAAAGAAUAAGCACCGGCUAACUUCGUG
rnacentral:rRNA from 1 species